AAACAUCAGAAAACCUUUUAAAAGGAGAGAACGAUUAUCCCUGAUGGACAUCCAUAUAACCCAAACUCAGUCUAUAAACGACUGGUAGUUUAUACAUGUACCCAACCGGAAGUACACGAGUCUCUUUUCAACGCCUGCUCGCAUUUUCUAGAUGUGACGCAGUUCAUCUCGAGUGAACCUACUGCUAAACUAAGCUAAGCUAAGCUAACUAAAGCUAUUUGUUUGCUUUGACUAUCUCCAGAAAAUGGCACUAUUGUCGCCAGAACGUAACGAGACGCUGUUCUAGAAUGUGUUAUCAUGUUUCCGACGCUGACUGUCUUUGGCGUUGUCGCCAUGUUCAUGACUCCAGGACUCUGCUGUUCACCAAAAGAAUAUCAGACAAGGGAUGGGCAAUGUUGUCCGAUGUGCCACGAAGGUACAGUUGUUCGAAGAGACUGCACUCUUCAGACAGGGAAAUGGUGCAGCCCCUGUGUGAACGGGACAUUUAUGAACAAACCCAAUGGCCUGAAUAAAUGUUACAA